AACGAACGCUGGCGGCAGGCCUAACACAUGCAAGUCGAACGCUCGUAGCAAUACGGGAGUGGCAGACGGGUGAGUAACACGUGGGAACCUUCCCUAUGGUUCGGAAUAGCUCAGGGAAACUUGGGGUAAUACCGGAUAAGCCCUUCGGGGAAGGAUUUAUCGCCAUUGGAUGGGCCCGCGUCGGAUUAGCUAGUUGGUGAGGUAACGGCUCACCAAGGCAACGAUCCGUAGCUGGUCUGAGAGGANGAUCAGCCACACUGGGACUGAGACACGGCCCAGACUCCUACGGGAGGCAGCAGUGGGGAAUAUUGGACAAUGGGCGGCAAGCCUGAUCCAGCCAUGCCGCGUGAGUGACGAAGGUCUUCGGAUUGUAAAACUCUUUUGGCGGGACGAUAAUGGCGGUACCCGCAGAAUAAGCCCCGGCUAACUUCGUGCCAGCCGCCGCUGUAAG
rnacentral:rRNA from 1 species